rnacentral:tRNA from 1 species
GCGGAGGUGGCGGAAUGGCAGACGCGCUAGAUUCAGGUUCUAGUGGGGUAACACUCGUGAGGGUUCAAGUCCCUUCCUCCGCACCA